GUCAAGUCAUCAUGGCCCUUAUGUCCAGGGCUACACACGUGCUACAAUGGAUGGUACAGAGCGGAGCAAAACCGCGAGGUACAAGCGAAUCGCUAAAAGCCAUCCGUAGUUCAGAUUGAAGUCUGAAACCCGACUUCAUGAAGUUGGAAUCGCUAGUAAUCGCGCAUCAGCAUGGCGCGGUGAAUACGUUCCCGGGCCUU
rnacentral:rRNA from 1 species